rnacentral:rRNA from 1 species
UACGGAGGAUGCAAGCGUUAUCCGGAAUGAUUGGGCGUAAAGCGUCCGCAGGUGGCUGUGUAAGUCUGCUGUCAAAGAGCGAAGCUCAACUUCGUAAAGGCAGUGGAAACUACACGGCUAGAGUGCGUUCGGGGCAGAGGGAAUUCCUGGUGUAGCGGUGAAGUGCGUAGAGAUCAGGAAGAACACCGGUGGCGAAGGCGCUCUGCUAGGCCGCAACUGACACUGAGGGACGAAAGCUAGGGGAGCGAAUGGG